ensembl:lincRNA
GGUUCAUAUGCAGGUGUCCUGGAUGACCUCAGAAAAUGUUUAUUUUUGAGGAUAGGAAGUUUGCUGUUAGAAUGGGGCUUGUGAGAAGGGUCUUGGGUUCAGGACUCUCACACUUGACUGCGACUCUAAUUUUGCUCCUUAUUAUUCAUGGGUUGUUAGACAUGCACCUGAUGACUUCUAAGACAGAGCUUGUUGCCAAGUUCCAGGGUGGUCCCUCCAAUUCCUGUCUCUGGGACUCACAUCCUAGAUAAUUCCCUCCCCCAAAUGUGGUGAGACUUUUGAGUAUGGUGGAAUAUCAUGCCCAUGAUUUUCUUACAUGGUAUGACAAAGGUGAGGAGAUUUUGCUGAAGUAAUCGAGGUACCAUGUCUGUUAAUGUUGAGUUACUAAAAGGGAGAUUAGGGUGGGCCUGACCUAAUCAGGCAUGCUCUUGAAAAGAGGGUCCAGAGGUCAGAGACAGAAGUCAGGAGGAUUUUCUGAUGGCUUUGAAGAAGCAGACUGCCAGGUUGUGAACAAGACCACAUGUCAGAGGAUGACUCCAAUGGAAGGUCAACAAAAAUACAUUUCAGAAACUUGGUCAGAUACCGACAGGAGCCUAGAUCCUGGGGGUGGAACCCCGCAUUUCUCACUAAUGACCCUGUCUAUCCAGGGCUGAGCCUGCCACACACCUGUAAGGAGGGCAGCCUGCAGGAGGUGACCAGGCUCUGGCUCCGUGGCUGGGGUUCUAGACUCCUGGAAUUUCCUGAGCGCUAGGAGCCCAUGGACCACACCUGAGUUAAAGCUAACAAGGUAACUCGGGAUGGGGCCAGUUGUGGUGUCAGCCUGACCUCCCCACCUCUGGGGAGGGAAGACGGAGUUCGAGUUCAAUCACAGGGCCAAUGAUUCGGUCAAUCAUGCCUCUGUAAUAAAAUUCCAGUGAAACCCUGGAUACCCAAAGCUGCCCCAAGAUUUGAUCAUCAUUAUGUGGCCUACCAAAGCAUCCUUUUGAGGUUAAAGGAGUCACAAGAAGGUGACCUGCUAGCAACUUCCUUGGAAGAGAAGCAGCUCAACAAAGAACUUUCACGAAGGUCUAAGAACUUCAGGAUUAAAAUAAAGAUAAGGGUUUUUCUAUACCUACAAAUUAGUGUUUUUCCCUUGAAACCUUGGACACCUUCCCGUUCAAAGAGAAAACCCCACAUGUUACGUGACAUUUCCUUGCUUUUCUAUGACACUUUCUCUUUGGUCAUUUCAGGCUGUAUUGAGAAACCCAAACUGACUGAAAAACCAAGUCCAAGCAAUUGUUUGGCACCACGAAGACAAAACAACCUGUCUCAUGAAUUACAGACCACUUCUACCUUUCCCUCGAUGAGAUGGGCCCAAAGGGGACGCUUGCCUUCUUCCAACUGUAGGCAAGAAUUAAGAGGGUGUGAGCAGACAGGAACGCAGGCUGGUGGUGCACACAUGGAGCUCUGCUUCAGCAGACUCUGACACCCACUGCAGACAACUGUGGUUGAGGGUUCUCGUUACAAAUGUAUUCUUUGGAUUGCAAAAGUAUUUUGCUCUUUUGUCACUUUUCUGCGAUCAAGUCAAUGCAAUGUGCUAUACGCAAAGUCCUCUAUUAGGAGGUGUGGGCACAAAGAUGUCUAGGAGGCAGAAUUCCAGCCCUCAAAGAAAGAAAGCCCAGGGGAAUCCAGUUGUGGGGUGUGGGGGGGGUGUUGGUAGGGGAAAGGGAAAGCGCUGGGGCUGGUUGAAGGGAGCUAUCAAUGGGCAAAUAUAGAGCAGACUGAACACAACUAUAUGGUGUCCGGGAUUGGGAAACAAGAUGGACAAUCAACUCUCCAAGAACAUGUUUACACAGUUUGUAAGGCAUGCUUAAAUGACCUCUAUUAAAAUCACGAUACACAGAUGUUAACGGGAAGGGGUAAGAAGGCAGAAGGAUGAGACAAGCAGACAAGGAGGUCUCAAGGGUGAUGCAUGUUUAUGUUAACUAUCCCACACCCUCAUGAAGUGCAGGGUCCACCCCUCUCUCUAUGGUUGCCUUACUUCUGGUGGGUUCCUCCCUUAUGGUACACCUGGCUGAACCUCUGCGGUCCUGAAAUGAUGAAAGAGAUAAGCAGAGUCCUGAGAGGGGAGGGCAGGGCCAAAAAAUGCCAGUGCUGUGCUGGGAAUGUUGACUAGGUCAGCUGGGUGGAGGACUCUGGUUUGUGGAAGCGAAUAAUAGAAAAUAAACCAAGAAGAAUAGGAAGGGAUCUGAUUUUAGAAAACCUGAAAUUUCAGCCUGAGGACUUUGGACUUUUAUCAGUAGUCAGUGGAAUGUUUUGAUCAGGGGAGUAAUAGGAUCAAAAUAAUGCUUUAAUAAUAGGAACACCCUGCCUGUAUUUGAGAAUUUAUUUACAGAGAAACUACCAGGCAGAAAAUCUUGAUUCCGUAGGGAUGAAGCAGAAAUUCAAAACUAAGUUAGCAACCAUUGCCAUGACCCUUACUGACCGCCCUCUCAUUUGGCCUUAUCCCCUACUCUCUGGAACUACAAUUACCAUUCCUGUGUGCUGAGCUAUGACCGGGUAACUAGAUCACGAAUCCACUGGAAGAGUCAGGGAAUAAUGCAUAGUAAUAGCUCACGACAUGUUUCUUAUUAGAAAUGAUGACAAGACAGGAAGUUAUACUGGAAACCAGUGGGAAAAGAACAAAAUUUGUGAACCCUUGAUUUGCACUUGACUUUAGGGGAGGAUCUGUUGCUCAGGGAAUAGAAUUUGUAUUUGAGACAUAAGAAGUCUAUGUGAAGAGUUAUGUUGGCUUCUUUUAACACCCAUG